rnacentral:rRNA from 1 species
UGGUGGAGUGAUUUGUCUGGUUAAUUCCGUUAACGAACGAGACCUCGACCUGCUAAAUAGUUUGGCGAGUUCCAUCGUGGAUUCGUACAUAACUUCUUAGAGGGACUAUCGGUUGCAAGCCGGUGGAAGUUCGAGGCAAUAACA